AGUGAACGUUGGCGGUAGGCCUAACACAUGCAAGUCGAACGGCAGCACAGAGGAGCUUGCUCCUUGGGUGGCGAGUGGCGGACGGGUGAGGAAUACAUCGGAAUCUACCCUGUCGUGGGGGGUAACGUAGGGAAUCUUACGCUAAUACCGCAUGCGACCUACGGUUGAAAGCAGGGGAUCUUCUGACGUUUGGCGAUUGAAUGAGCCGGUGUCGGUGUAGCUAGUUGGCGGGGUAAAGGCCCACCAAGGCGACGAGCCGUAGCUGGUCUGAGAGGAUGAUCAGCCACACUGGUACUGAGACACGGUCCAGACUCCUACGGGAGGCAGCAGUGGGGAAUAUUGGACAAGGGGCGCAAGCCUGAUCCAGCCAUACCGCGUGGGUGAAGAAGGCCUUCGGGUUGUAUAGCCCUUUUGUUGGGAAAGAAAUCCAGCCGGCUAAUACCUGGUUGGGAUGACGGUACCCAAAGAAUAAGCACCGGCUAACUUCGUGCCAGCAGCCGCAGUAA
rnacentral:rRNA from 1 species